UAGUUGUGAAUUCUGGUCCUGCCACUGUCACUGUUGAUUUGCUUAACCUUGUCUGAGCCCGUCUCUCUGGGCUGUAUCUCCUCAUCUAUCUCUGAGGUCCUUUCCAAUUGGAAGUUGCAAAGAUUCAUUGAGGGGAGCAAGGAAGGAGGAGCCUCAGCCUUUAGGAGCUUUCCUUUUUAAAAGAAAAAGGUCAACCCUUGGUUCUUAUAGAUGCUCAGAACAUGUUCUUGGGGGAAAACGCUGAAAGGUUUGCUUUGGGCCCUACUGGGCCUGGGGAGGUCUCUGGAGAAGAGCUUGGGGCAGAAUGAGAAGCAGCGGAAGCCAUGGGUGGCUGCAUGGAGGACGACGCACCCCACAAGAGAAGUGAGACCCUGCAGCUGAGGGAGCAUCAUGGCAGUGUUUCUGGAGGCCAAGGAUGCCCAUUCGGUCCUGAAACGAUUCCCUCGUGCCAAUGAGUUCCUGGAGGAGCUGCGCCAGGGCACCAUCGAGCGAGAGUGCAUGGAGGAGAUCUGCAGCUACGAGGAGGUCAAGGAAGUGUUUGAGAACAAAGAGAAAACGAUGGAGUUCUGGAAAGGGUACCCAAAUGCAGUCUACUCUGUCCGAGACCCCUCGCAGAGCUCAGAUGCCAUGUAUGUGGUGGUACCCCUUCUGGGGGUGGCACUGCUGAUUGUCAUCGCCUUGUUCAUCAUCUGGAGGUGCCAGCUGCAGAAAGCGACCCGUCACCACCCCUCCUAUGCUCAGAACCGGUACCUAGCCAGUCGCGCCGGGCACACCCUCCCCCGGGUCAUGGUGUACCGGGGUACUGUGCAUAGCCAAGGGGAGCCUUCUGGGCACCGAGAGGCAGCGAACAGCCCCCAGGUGGUGCUGGGGCCCAGUCGGGGGGGCAGGACCACAGUCCGGCUAGAGAGCACCCUCUACCUCCCUGAGCUCUCUCUCUCCAGACUGUCCAGCACCACCCCUCCCCCCUCCUACGAGGAGGUGACUGCGCCCCAAGAGAGCAGCAGUGAGGAGGCCAGCGUGUCUUACAGUGACCCACCCCCAAAGUACGAGGAGAUAGUGGCCGCCAACCCUGGCGCUGACAAGUAGUGGGACGUUUGUGCCCUGUCCUGGAUGAACGCCUCUUUCCGAGGUCUCCUAUUUUCUUUUUAACUUUUUAAAGACUGUGCCACCACAAAACAGCCUUAGCCUCCUUGUUGCCAAAUAAUUCCCUAACUGUGGAGUUUUAGGAAGUCAGUUGUCAGAGACAGGUGGGGAGGGUGGGGGUAGGGACCACGCAUGAGUCGAAGCCCCCGGGAAGAGCCAAAGGCCAAAGUGCCCAACUCUUUGGGAUGACCCCCAAGCCUCCAACAUCCUGUCUUUCCAUCAGGAACUGGCUUCUCUUAUGCCAAAGGAAUAACCCCAUUGAGUUGAUUGUGGCCAGAAUGUCCACAGGCCUGGCCUGGGGGCUGUGGGACUGGCUGGAGGCCUGCCUGUGUCUAGAGCUCUGGGCCUCAGGGGUAAGGGAAGGAAGCCAGCCUUUCAGCACCCCUUACCCUCCACAGUUCUGUGAUUUCUGUCCUUGCUUACAUUUGGAGGACAGGGACAAGGACUGAGCAAAAACAAAAUGAAAAAAUCAUGACAAAUAAAUAAUUAACACAAUAGAACAAAACUCUAGCACCCGGGCCGUUCAUAGGAGGCCAAGGGAAAUUUAUCACAUGGAUCUGUGAUGUCCGCCUCCCCUAAAACCUGUCCCCACACUCCUGGAAGGAGGACAGGGUGUGUGAAGGAUGAGGGCCAGAGGGCUGGGUGGCAGAGUUUCCUCUUCCACAUUGACCAAGGGGCCCACGUGGACUCUGCCAUUCAGUUUCUAGUGUGCUUGUCUCUCCAGACAUGUGGACCAGCUGUGUUCAAACCACUACCCACUGGCAUGAGCCUACUUUUUGCGAAUGGUGCAUUGAAAUUGAACUUCAGAUUGAGGAUUUCUCCUUAACGAUGGUGCGCAUCUCAGGAGAAGAUCCUAAAGUGUCCCUUUUAAAACAUUUAUUUGUGGAGAAGCCCGUGGCCUGGGGUUGAAGGCCCAUAUGGGGUUUGCUCUGCUGUUGCCAGGUGCCAGUCUGUUUUCAGUGAGGCUUUGGACAGCAGUGGGGCAGAAGGCACCUGCCCUUUAACUGUCAGUGACCAUGCUAGACACUGUUGAUACCACCUCCCCCUACUUCCGUCUCCAUCCUCCUGACCUCAACACCAAACCAUUUCUCCUCUGUGGUGCUUUAAAAAUUGUAGCAAAUUUUUGUGUGGUGCAAGAAUGCAUGGCCUGCGUCUAUUGGCAACCACAGCAAUUUAAAAUCCACUGAGCUGACAAGCUUUUUUCUGUCAAAAUAUCUCUCUAAGGCAGACAUUGGGACUCAUUUCCUUGAAUGCAGCCCUGCCUUCAGGCCACAGAGGACUUCUGGAGGCUGCUCUAGCCCUGAGGACUUGCCCUGGGACGUGCUUCCAGUUAGAAGGCUUGUGUCCCUACCCCAGUGAGGCCACCAGCUUGGACCACUCCACCCUGUGGCUGGGGUUUUCCAUCCUUCCCCCUACCUCACAGGCCCGUUGGAGGCUGACUGAGCAAAUGCCUGCGAAGUGCUUGAAUUGCCGGGGAGCCAGCGAGGUUUGCCUUAGGAAGAGUCUUCUAGAAAGGUGUAGGUUAUAAGGGAGCAGUCUUAGCUGAGGCCCUCAUAUGCCUCUGAUGUUGAGUCUCCACUUGGAGAGUCAAUCUCCCGUCAGUUGACCCUUUCCAUCCUCUCGUCCUCCCUUUCCAGAGCUCCCUGAUGCCAGAGAUGCUGGUGAAUGCAGGUGACAUUCUACCUUUCGUUUCCUUGUCUUUCCCUCCCCUGGGCCUUCAGCAUUGCACUCCUGCCCUUCAUCACAAAGGGGUUUUUGGCUUAAGAGGCCCCUGCUUUUUCCAUGUUGGGGGACCUGGGGAAGCCUGAAGCUCGGGGCUAGCCCUGGCUCUCCCAGUAUUUCUUCAAGUAGGUGCCAGAGUGUGACCUGGGAGCAGGUGAGAAGAAACUUAUCCCAAUAUGUCUACUCAGUUAGCACAGAGCCAGGCAUGAGCUCCACUGAUCAGAGCCAAAGGGAGUUUGCCAAGAAAUGCCCGCUGCCUUUGGCAUCUGAGUUGCAGCUGGGUGGUAAUGGGAGAGAGCAGGAAGAGGCCCAAGGCCUGGCCCAUGGAGGGCAACAUGUGUCCUUCAGGGGCUGAGGACAGGCCGUGGGAAGAGUCACAGGAGGUUGCUUAAGGCCUGUGAUGUUCGGUUCAGAUGCUUCAUGGUGUUCUGCCAGGUGGGGUUGCACCACGGUCUCUGGGAUGGUUUCUGCAGCACAUUGUAGAAAAAAGACUGUACAGCACACAGCAGGCAUCACUCCUUGCGAUGCACACUUGGAUUUUAUGAAUGCCCUGUACAUAUCUUUUCAAACUCUGUGUUUGUAUGGAGGUGGAUUUGAUACAAUGCUGACUCUUUCGUGGCUACAUUUUUGCUGUUUUUGGACUUCUAUGUGUGUGUGUGUGUGUGUGUGUGUGUGUAUCUAUGUGUGCACGUUGCCUUUUCUCAUUGCUUAUCUGAAACAAUAGCCGGUGUGCAGCUAUAUUUGUACCAGGAGGGAUCCGGUCUGAAAAGAGGAAUGUCACCUCCCCUCGCAGGGCUGAGUAGCCUGAUGACAGGGCCCUGAGCAAGGAAACGUGGCAUUAACUAUAUUGGACACCCAACCCCCAAAGUUGUCACUGUUUGCCUCCUUGAAAAAGGCUUUGGAAGAAGACAAAGCAGCUCCAUUCUGCAGGUCUCCACCCUAUGCAACCCCCGCUCACACGCCCUUUUGGCAUGGUGCCCCUGGCCCAGGCUUCUGUUCUGUGGGUGUCAGCAGCUGAAAGAAAUCUGAGUACUCCUGGGCAUGGUUUUUUUUUUUUUUUUUUUUUUUUUUUUUUUUUUUUUUUUUUUUUUUUUUUUUUUUGUGUGUGUGUGUGUGUGUGUGUGUGUGUGUGUGUGUGUGUAUGGAAAGAUGUGUGACUAUUGACUUUGGGUAUCGCGGGACUAGUUAAUUAGAUGUUUUUCAUUUUUCAAAAAGAAAAGGUUUUAAAAAUUUUCUUGAAAUGUGACUGUCACUUGUUUUCAACCAAAAACUUUUUAAGAUUUUUUAAAAGAAAAAUCGAAAUCCUGUCCCUCCCCCGCUUCCCAUCGCCUCCGGUUUUCAAAAUGAAAGCACAAGUGCAAGAGUGGGGUGCACAGGUGCCUGGCGUGUACACACCACCCACACAGCUGCGUCCAGCCCUGGCUGAGGGAGACGCAGUGCUGAGCAGUCAGCCCCGGGAGGCCUCUUUUUCAACUUCCAAUCCCACUGCCAUGAAUGUGAAUUCCUUAGGGUGCUUCCAAAAACAGGAGUCUGCCUGAUCUGUUGGACAUUGCCUUUUUGGUAGCCCGAAUAUGAGGAAUUCAGGACAGGAAAGUGUCUUUUUGUCAAGUAGUCAGAGCCGGAUGCUUCCCCUCUCCCAGUGGGUGGAGCAUCGCAACCCCCAGCCAGAGUUGAUCUUUUGACAACCCAGUGACAUCCCAUGAGAAGGAAGAAAAAAAAUUCAACACUGCCUCUAGAUUGUUAUUUUGUCCAAGAGAGAGAUCAUGGAGAGAGUCUCUCUCGCUCACGGAGGCUCUGUCUUUCUAGGAGUAUGUGUGUGUGCUGUCUCAUGUGUGGACACUCACAGUUGAGGCUGAGAUGGAUAUCUUGGCAGCAGAGCUGCUGGUCUAGGUGGCUUUUCAGCUUGACAAGUAAUGAAGCUCCAUUUCAGGACUUCAUCGAUUCCGAAACAAGCACAGCCCCCCACCCCCCGCCACGGAACUCUACUAAUACUAAUCACUAUAAUUAGCUAAUUUAAAAGUACGGUAAUCAGACUGCUUGCAACUAUUUUAAAAGCCCAUUAAUUUGAAGCCCACUACUUCAGAACUUCGAGAAAAUCACAACUUAAGACAAUUCACAGUAGCUGUGAUUCUGGCUACAUAAAAAUAUUUGAAAUAUUCUUCCCUUUAGUCAAUGUUCAGGGUCUUUUGUGUAAGAGAAAUCCAGUUUAAAAUGAGUACCCUUUUCAAAGAAAAGGCUCAAGAUAUUAAGGAUCCCUUCACCGUGCCUUCAGCUUUGCAGUUCAGCACUUCUCGUAUGUACAGGGUGAUCUCUUGUUCUCUCUCCAUCACAGGGAUGUUGGAUAUUGCAGCCUUUCACUCUACUCCGUUAUUUAUCCUGUGAAUAACAUAGUUUGUGAACUAGACUGCAAUUUAAACUAAUACACAUGAUGUAUCUUUCUAAAUAUUCUGUAAAGCAGAUGCUUCGCUGUCAGACUGGCCGCUCCAUCAUUCGCCUCCAAAUAUUCAAACGUGGGAGCUUUUCCUUUCAGACUGUGGGCAGCGAGUCUCUCUCUAGCAAGAAUUUAUCUGACAAACAUACCCAAAUAGCACACCCUCUCAAGCUCAAUGCCUCAACAGUUGUUUCACUGUACUGAUAUCUGACUGCUGAACAGUGCCUGCCCUUCACCCACCCCCAGCCCGAGCAUUAACACAGAUCUUCAGGAUUGGGACAAAUCCCCCAGCUGCUUUUGCCUCUCAAUCCAUCUCCCCUCAUCGAUACCAAUUUCCCAGGCCUGAACACAUCUGUUAUUUUGCUCUGACAUUGUGAAUUUGUGACAGUGGAAACCCUGAUAUGUGCAACUGAGCUUAUAGAAAUAAUUACUGUGAAAUGGAUUAAUUUUGAUACCACUUUAAACUGUGCUUGUAUUCAUGUGUUGACCCUUGUCAGCUGGGAAAUCUGUACAUUCAGUAUAUGUCAGCAUUUCAUUGGAGCCUGGGGGCAACAGACAAACUUGCUUCUGAUUUCUCUCUCUCUCUCUUUCUUUUUAUAAUUGUUGAAUUUGGCUGUUACAUUUUGUCUCCUUCUUUACAAGAAAACAAUAAUAAUAAAGAGCAAAUGGCAUCCACUUGAA